UGAGGAAUAUUGCGCAAUGGCCGAAAGGCUGACGCAGCGACGCCGCGUGAAGGAUGAAGUCCGUUAGGAUGUAAACUUCUUUUGCAGGGGAUGAAUGUUCCGCUUAGCGGAAUUGACCGUACCCUGCGAAUAAGGAUCGGCUAACUACGUGCCAGCAGCCGCGGUAAUACGUAGGAUCCGAGCGUUGUCCGGAAUUACUGGGUGUAAAGGGCGUGUAGGUGGGUCUCUAAGUCGGUGGUGAAAUCCUGCAGCUUAACUGCAGAACUGCCAUCGAUACUGGAGGUCUUGAGUGCGGCAGAGGGAGAUGGAAUUCAUGGUGUAGCGGUGAAAUGUGUAGAUAUCAUGAAGAACACCGGUAGCGAAGGCGGUCUCCUGGUCCGUAACUGACACUGAGGCGCGAAAGCGUGGGGAGCAAACAGG
rnacentral:rRNA from 1 species